rnacentral:rRNA from 1 species
GAUCCUGGCUCAGGAUGAACGCUAGCGGCAGGCUUAACACAUGCAAGUCGAGGGGCAACGCGAGUAGCAAUACUUGGCGGCGACCGGCGCAAGGGUGCGUAACGCGUGAGCAACAUGCCCGUAUCAGGGGGAUAAUCCAGGGAAACUUGGUCUAAUACCCCAUAGUAAUUUUUGUAAGGCAUCUUAUAAGAUUUAAAGCUUUGGUGGAUACGGAUUGGCUCGCGUGACAUUAGCUGGAUGGUAAGGUAACGGCUUACCAUGGCUAUGAUGUCUAGGGGUUCUGAGAGGAAGGUCCCCCACACUGGAACUGAGACACGGUCCAGACUCCUACGGGAGGCAGCAGUGAGGAAUAUUGGACAAUGGAUGGAAAUCUGAUCCAGCCAUGCCGCGUGAAGGAAAAGAAGGUCCUAUGGAUUGUAAACUUCUUUUGUAUGGGAGCAAUAAGGCCUACGAGUAGGUUGAUGAGAGUACCAUACGAAUAAGCACCGGCUAACUCCGUGCCAGCCGCUGC